AGGAGGAACAGCCCCAGUGGCGGGGCCAGCUCUGGAGCCCUGGAUUCAGCCCCCACAGUAGCUCCAGAGCUCUCCGUCUGCAGGGCCUGGAGGCUCCGGGGCGGG
rnacentral:pre_miRNA from 1 species